GUGCCAGGCCACGAAGAGGAGGUCACUGUGAUGACAGUUCCGACAAAUGGUUUUUUAAUGCAGGUUUUUAUACAUGCAGCAGAGUUAAAGCUGAUAAAUGCCCAACGGUAGGCUCAUUCUUCGACAGCUGCGAAGAAUGUCAGCAAAAGUGCUUGAGACACAGAAAACAUUUGUGCGAUUAUCUUCACUGAAGCGUUGAUGCCAGCAAGAAGAGAAAUGGACGUCAUCUCGACUCUCGAAGAUGUUGAAGAUGAUAU